rnacentral:lncRNA from 1 species
ACUAUCGUGUUGACAUUGUCUACUUUGCAAUAUCGUCAAUGUCAAUGAUGUAGACAGAAGUAUGAAACGAUAUCGACAACGUUGUAUAACAUCGUGUCGACAUUGUCUACUUCGCAAUAUCGUCAAUAUCAACGAUGUAUACAAGAGUAUGAAACGAUAUCGACAACGUUGUACAAUAUCGUGUCGACAUUGUCUACUUCGCGAUAUCGUCAAUGUCAACGAUGUAGACAAG